AUUGAACGCUGGCGGCAGGCCUAACACAUGCAAGUCGAACGAGUGGCGGACGGGUGAGUAAUGUCUGGGCAACUGCCUGAUGGAGGGGGAUAACUACUGGAAACGGUAGCUAAUACCGCAUACCAUCGGAUGUGCCCAGAGGGGAUUGGCUAGUAGGUGGGGUAACGGCGCACCUAGGCGACGCUCCCUAGCUGGUCUGAGAGGAUGACCAGCCACACGGGAACUGAGACACGGUCCAGACGCCUACGGGAGGCAGCAGUGGGGAAUAUUGGACAAUGGGCGAAAGCCUGAUCCAGCCAUGCCGCGUGUGUGAAGAAGGUCUUCGGAUUGUAAAGCACUUUAAGUUGGGAAGCGGUACCAACAGAAUAAGCACCGGCUAACUUCGUGCCAGCAGCCGCGGUAAUUC
rnacentral:rRNA from 1 species